rnacentral:sRNA from 2 species
CCGGGUGGACCGCCUAAUCCUGCCGCCGCCCGGGAACCGCACCCGACCAUCGCGCGCGGCAGGAGCGGGGGAACCAGGUAGGCCGCUGUUCCGGAUCAUUUCCGGCGCAGCUAGGGGUGAAGCCGAACCCGUGCACCGCACGUACGGCCGGACAUCUCCAGUCCGAACCCGACAGCUCACCUCGCAGGCGCCGGAGAGGAAUU